GACGAACGCUGGCGGCGUGCUUAACACAUGCAAGUCGAACGGUGAUGCUCCAGCUUGCUGGAGUGGAUCAGUGGCGAACGGGUGAGUAACACGUGAGCAACCUGCCCCAGACUCUGGAAUAAGCGCUGGAAACGGCGUCUAAUACUGGAUACGAAACUGGCCCGCAUGGGCAUGGUUUGGAAAGUUUUUCGGUUUGGGAUGGGCUCGCGGCCUAUCAGCUUGUUGGUGAGGUAAUGGCUCACCAAGGCGACGACGGGUAGCCGGCCUGAGAGGGCGACCGGCCACAGGGGGCGGAAGACAGGCCCAGGCCCCUGGGGGGGGCAGGGGGGGGGAAUUUUGCCAAAUGGGGGGAAGGCUGGAUGAGGCGCCCCGGGGGGGGGAAGGCCGCCUUUGGGGUUGAAACCCUUUUCCGGAGGGAAAGAAGGAAAGGGGCGGGACCCGGCAGAAGAACCCCGGCUAACUUCGGG
rnacentral:rRNA from 1 species